GCGGAUGUGGCGGAACGGCAGACGCGCAUGCCUCAGGAGCAUGUAGGGAUUUCCCUGUGGAGGUUCAAAUCCUCUCAUCCGCAC
rnacentral:tRNA from 1 species